rnacentral:rRNA from 1 species
AGAACGAACGCUGGCGGCAUGCCUAAUACAUGCAAGUCGAACGAACUCUUCGGAGUUAGUGGCGCACGGGUGCGUAACGCGUGGGAAUCUGCCCCUUGGUUCGGAAUAACAGUUGGAAACGACUGCUAAUACCGGAUGAUGACGAAAGUCCAAAGACUUAUCGCCAAGGGAUGAGCCCGCGUAGGAUUAGCUAGUUGGUGAGGUAAAGGCUCACCAAGGCAACGAUCCUUAGCUGGUCUGAGAGGAUGAUCAGCCACACUGGGACUGAGACACGGCCCAGACUCCUACGGGAGCAGCGAGUAGGGAAUAUGGACAAUGGGACGAAAGCCUG